UACGAAGGGUGCAAACGUUGCUCGGAAUUAUUGGGCGUAAAGCGCACGUAGGCGGCAUUGCAAGUCGGAUUGUGAAAUCCCUCGGCUUAACCAAGGAAGUGCAUCCGAAACUGCAGUGCUUGAGUACUUAAGAGGAUCGCGGAAUUCCCGGUGUAGAGGUGAAAUUCGUAGAUAUCGGGAGGAACACCAGUGGCGAAGGCGGCGAUCUGGGAAGAUACUGACGCUGAGGUGCGAAAGCGUGGGGAGCAAACAGG
rnacentral:rRNA from 1 species